AACGAAAUUGCCCUCGAAACAAUGUAUUGCUCGAUUUCUACCUUUUUUACAAUGUCAUCGUCGCUCAAAUGAAGCCAUUCAACCGUUUUUGAGGUUACAAACGCGACAGAUCGUUUCCUUGUUGAAAGAAGGUUGGCGAUCACCAGCUGGUGGUUAUAACGUUGUAAAGCUACUCUUGCUUUAUCAAUCAGAAUACUAGGGUCGGUUUCUAAUUUAAAGGAAAUAAUAGAAGCUUCAGGAGCCCAUGUGUCAACCAAGAAACGCAGAAAUUUUGGAACCGGAUGCAUUUUGACUUCUAAUUUGUUACUUCCAGAACCACUUUGAAUUUUGUGCUCGCUCAAUUCCUUCGGUGGAAUAUGGAAAUCACUAACAGCAGCUGCUAAAUAAAACAAUGCUCUUGAAGCGAUUAUCUGUAAACGUUCAGCUAUAGCUUUCAGGUACCACAAAUAUUCUGUGAGUGUAGUAUAAGGAAUCAUUAUCAGUCGAUGAUGUUUCGUAUAUGUAUCUAAUUCGUUGAGUGCAUUGAAUACUGUCGAUUGAAACUCUUGUUUGACAAUCCAAGGCUUCUCCUGACUGCCAUUACUUCUUUCAAACAAAUUUGUCCAGGGACCUUCAUAUCGUCGAGUAAAUGGCAUUAAACUAUAAUUUCUAUACAGAAAAAUGACCGAAUAUCCAGACUUGCAAAAGUAUUCAGCAGAUGCUGCACCACGAUUUCCUGCACUAAAGUUAUCGAUAAAACGCACCGUAUUUUGCUCAAGAGGCACAAGUGUGCCGCCACUAGUAACAAAUGCAAUGUUUUGGGAGUUUGAUUGAAGGUUUAUAAAAUCUUCAAUCAGACUUGAGACAUCACCGAGUGAGUUAGGACAAGGAUUCUCCUCAAAGAAAUCGUUAGAUUUAUCCAUUUCUGGCAUAUAUUCUAAAUAGCUAAGAGUAUCGCAACCCAGAAAUGCCUCUCUUACGAUGAGCUCAAAAAUAAACAAACGACGUUUAAAAAACUGUAUGCGUUAUUGCUGAAUGAUAGGACUAGAGAACUCACAAAAUCUGAAAUGCUAACCAAACAGUUCUCUAGCAGCUUGUAAAUUCAGCAAGUAGUGGUCUGUUUAUUGAACAAUGUAGACGAUAGCGACACCACAAACGACUGAAACGCGACACUUUGUGAUUGUAUUACACUUAAGGCCUUUUUUUUUUAUUCAACUCGUGCUUGUCUUUUAUGAAAAGCUAAAAUUAAAAUAAAUUUUAAGUUU